CAUACACGCAGGGGGGCUUUAAUGGACUUGGAAAAACCACAUUCCCUUGUUGCAGAAGAAGCUGCCUUUUUAAUUUUUCUAAGUGCUUUUUUAUGAGGCUGUGAGUUGCACGCCCACACCAGGGCUGCCGAAGCAUGACAGGUUUUCUUUUCUUUUUUUUAAAGUACAUUAUAUAAAAACAGACACCUACUGAUGAAGACUUCAUAGUUCCAGAGCAAGAAGAUGUCAAUUGGCAGUUAUGUUCUUCUGCGCAGAGACAAAGUUCUACAUAAGGAAUACAUAUUAUUUCAUUUGCAACAUUUACCGUAUAUACUCGAAUAUAAGCCGACCCAAAUAUAAGCCGAGGCACCCCAUUUUACCACUAAAAAACAGGGAAAAUUGCAUUGACUUGAGUAUAAUCUGAGGGUGGAAAAUGUAGCAGCUACUUGUAAAUUUCAAAGCAAAAAUAAAUACCAAUACAAUUACAUUACUUGAGGCAUCAGUAGGUUAAAUGUUUUUGAGUAUUUGCAUAAAACUGUAGUUUAAGAUAAGACUGCUAAACUCUGAUUAAACCAUUAUUCUAGCCUUCUUCAAUGUACAUGUGCUUAUGUAUCCUUCCAAUACUAAUAGAGUAAAAUAAUAAAUUUAAUAAAAAUAAAAAUAAGAGUAAAAUAAUGUAAAUGUAAUUAUAACUAAUAAUAGAGUAAAAUAAUAAAUGUAAUAUUAACAAUAUUAAAUAGAGUAAAAUAAUACAUGUAAUUAUAACAGUAAUAGUAGAGUAAAAUAAUAAAUGUAAUAAUAGAGUGAAAUGAUACAUUUAAUAAUAAUAAUAAUAAUAAUAAUAAUAAUAAUAAAGUAAAAUAAUAAAUGUAAUAAUAAUAAUAAUAACAGAGUAAAAUUAUAAGUAACCUUGACUUGAGUAUAAGCCAAGGGGGACUUUUUCAGCCUAAAAAAGGGCUGAAAAACUAGGCUUAUAUUCGAAUAUAUACAGUAUAUUGCUUUUUUGGCUGGAAGAAUGGAGAAGGCAGCUCAUACAUUAAAAAAAAAGCAAAAUAAUGGCAAACAGAAAUAUGUUAAAACGGGAGAUGCUGUCAGUUUAAAGCAAGCCCAAACUCAAGAAGAAACAACACCUACAACAUACCACUGACAAUAUUCACCAAAGAGCCAAACAGACUAGAAGCAGAGAGUCAGCAUGAUGCAGUCUGAGUCAAAUUGAGACGAACUGAAUACCUAAGUGAUGUUGAGUUUUAAGAGUCCGCUGUGUAUUUUAUAUUGUACAAUUAUUUUUGUGUGCGUGUUUUUUAAAGAGACAUAACCAGACCUAUCAUCUGUGGCUCUAAACGUUUGCGUACUUAGCUUAUAUACAAAUCUGCAACGAUGAUCCAACAACACAAGAGGUAUACUUGCCUAAACUCUGAACUGGAAGGGUCCAAGGGCAGAAACCCUACCUGAUCAGGGCUUUUUGCAUUAUCAGGAGAGGCAUCUAAUUCCUACCAACCACUAAAUUUUUCAGAGUUGGGACUCACGACCGGGAAAUGUUCCAAACGCCUGAAAAUGCAGCUAGCAAUGUUGUGGGUUAUUUCCAGUUCCCAUUGCCAAGCUGUUUUUGAUGCAUCUUUGGAAUCGAAUUCCAUUCAAAUCCUCUGUGCCGCUGGUUCAUCAGUUAUUUUUCCCCUCCAGUGUCCUCGUCUCUAUAUUUAAACCCCUCUCCUCCGCCCCCAGCUCAAAUUCUUGCCAAAUGUAUCCCAAUGACUUGCCAUGGCUAGCCAUACUCCAGGAACAUUCAGCGUCUGUUGUUGUUGUGUGCCUUCAGGUCAUGUCUGAUUUAAGGUCAUCCUAACAUGGGGUGUUCUUGGCAGAGAUGUGUUUAGAGGGGGUUUGCCCUUAUGUUAAUCUGAAGUGAAGAGAAUAUCACCUACCCAAGGUCAACCAGGUUUCCAUGGCCAAGCAGAGAUUUAAAACCUGGUCUCUCAGAUUCUAGUCCAGUGCUCAAACCAUUAGACCUCGCUGUGUCACUCAGGCUGGACUUUAGUAAUACAAGGCAGGACCAGCCCAACCAGAGGCAAAUGGCAAGAUGGGCCCCCUUUCUACAUACAGGAUUCAACUAGGUUAGCAGUGGAAUUCAUCUUAGGACCUCAUCCCAUUAGGAGCAUGAAGUAGGGGGAAUGGUCUUCUUACUGUUGUAUUUCGUGCCUUUCAGUUUCUUUAGAAAAACAGAUCAUUCAUUUGCAGCCAUCACAUGUGAUGUAUUCUGUCUGCUUCUACAGGUGUCCUCCACUUUCUGAGGUAUCACAUGGUAGCACACUAGAAGGCAGAUUUGGAAAGGCUCUUCAGUGAUGGUUGGGAGUAGCUUGCUUUUAGAAUAAACUCAUUAUUCCAAGCCAUUUGGUAUUGGUUCCCUGGUUUCUGGCUCUGCAACUUUCUCAACAAGCCACUCUUGACAUUAUUUAGAAUGACCAGAUUGAGCUCUCUGGACUCUACUGUAUGAGAUUACAGAUAAGACUUUGUAUUUUGGAAUAUUUUCCUAUGUAAAAAGCUCCUCAAAUGUGGCAGAUCAGGAGCUAUAUGCUAAAAUCUGACAGCAAUAUAUUGGUGGCACAUUUUCUUUUCCCCCGAACACAUGGGGAAACGUUCUGGCACCCCAUAUUAUGAAGCUAAACUUUUCAGAACUAUCUCGUUUUUAUGUAAUGUGAAGAUAACUUGGAGCUAAGGAACAAGAUGCAUGUUCCCACCGCAUCUAAAAAUACAUCCAGACAACACAGCAACUACAUAUUGUAUAAGUUUAUUUUACCCAAAACUAGGAUGGUAGUAGGUGUGAUGCUAGUCACCAUCAGCAUUGAAUCAGACAAUAUUAUUUACAGUUUCUAAAAAAAGUCACACAUGCUGUCUUUAUGAACUGACUAGGUUCAUUAUUAGGGAUUUUUGUUUUCUUCGUUAUGAUAAAACGCAUCACGUGUAUUGCACCAAUGUGUGUCUACGGCUUUACUUUUAAAUAAGUUACAUUAUUACAGUGCAAAAUAAGUUUAUUUGCACACUCCGAGAUCUUUUUUUUUUGUUCAAAAAGCUGAAGUUAUGGAAUUGACGUUUUUUAACAGUUUCUUAAACAUUCAGCAACAGUACCAUUUGUCAAUGAGUCUGUAUAAAUAGAUUUGCAUAUUGUACAGAGCUUUGUAAAGUGUUAUGCUAAGAUACAAUAAAGAUCAUCAGCUACUUACAAUUGAAA